UAGCAUUGCCUCAAGGACCAAUUACAAGGCUGAGAUCCAAGAGGUUGAAGGAAGCACUUCAAGGAUUCAUGAAGGAAUAUGUUGAAACUUUGCAAGUUCAUUUUGAAGUUGAAGAACAAUCUGGCCAUUCCAAGUCAAUUAGGCCAAAUGUGUCCUUAUUGACAAUUCAAAUUUUGUAUUUAUAGUGGGUAGUCAUUUAGUAGUUGGUAGUUAACCAGUAGUG
rnacentral:lncRNA from 1 species